GGGGUUGUAGCUCAGUGGUAGGGCGCUCGCCUAGUAUACGUGAGGCACUGAGUUUGAUCCUCGGCAACACAU
rnacentral:tRNA from 1 species